AUACGGAGGGUGCAAGCGUUAUCCGGAUUUAUUGGGUUUAAAGGGUGCGUAGGCGGGGUGGUAAGUCAGUGGUGAAAUCCCACAGCUCAACUGUGGAACUGCCAUUGAAACUGCCAUUCUUGAAUAUAGUUGAAGUGAACGGAAUGUAACAUGUAGCGGUGAAAUGCAUAGAUAUGUUACAGAACACCAAUUGCGAAGGCAGUUCACUAAACUAUUAUUGACGCUCAGGCACGAAAGCGUGGGGAGCAAACAGGAUUAGAAACCCCAGUAGUCC
rnacentral:rRNA from 1 species